AGUGAACGCUGGCGGUAGGCCUAACACAUGCAAGUCGAACGGCAGCACAGUAAGAGCUUGCUCUUACGGGUGGCGAGUGGCGGACGGGUGAGGAGUACAUCGGAAUCUACUUUUUCGUGGGGGAUAACGUAGGGAAACUUACGCUAAUAUCGCAUACGACCUACGGGUGAAAGCAGGGGAUCUUCGGACCUUGCGCGAUUGAAUGAGCCGAUGUCGGAUUAGCUAGUUGGCGGGGUAAAGGCCCACCAAGGCGACGACCCGUAGCUGGUCUGAGAGGCUGAUCAGCCACACUGGAACUGAGACACGGUCCAGACUCCUACGAGAGGCAGCAGUGGGGAAUAUUGGACAAUGGGCGCAAGCCUGAUCCAGCCAUACCGCGUGGGUGAAGAAGGCCUUCGGGUUGUAAAGCCCUUUUGUUGGGAAAGAAAAGCAGCAGGUUAAUACCCCGCUGUUCUGACAGUACCCAAAGAAUAAGCACCGGCUAACUUCGUG
rnacentral:rRNA from 1 species